GGCCUCUUGGCACUUAUCACAGGCUGUGUUCUUACACCGCCUAUACAGAAAGGAGGCGGAGUAAACCCACCCCAUAUACACCUCAGCCCAGGCCUUGUGCCUGGUCUAUAUUGUGAGUGGGGGAUAUGG